AUUGAACGCUGGCGGCAGGCUUAACACAUGCAAGUCGAGCGGGGUGAUGGUGCUUGCACUAUCACUUAGCGGCGGACGGGUGAGUAAUGCUUAGGAAUCUGCCUAUUAGUGGGGGACAACAUCUCGAAAGGGAUGCUAAUACCGCAUACGUCUUACGGGAGAAAGCAGGGGAUCACUUGUGACCUUGCGCUAAUAGAUGAGCCUAAGUCGAAUUAGCUAGUUGGUGGGGUAAAGGACUACCAAGGCGACGAUGUGUAGCGGGUCUGCGAGGAUGGACCGCCACACUGGGGCUGGGACACGGCCCAGACGCCUACGGGAGGCAGCAGUGGGGAAUAUUGGACAAUGGGGAGAACCCUGAUACAGCCAGGCCGCGUGUGUGAAGAAGGCCUUAUGGUUGUAAAGCACUUUAAGCGAGGAGGAGGCUCUUUUGGUUAAUACCCAAGAUGAGUGGACGUUACUCGCAGAAUAAGCACCGGCUAACUCUGUGCCAGCCGCCGCCGUAA
rnacentral:rRNA from 1 species